GGAGACUGGGAGUGCGUUGAGGCCGACGGCAGCUCAGUGCUGCCUCGCUGACGGUUCCUCCGCUUUAAAGUCGCCCUUUACUUUGGAGCCGGGAUAAAACAACAUCCAACUUAUUCAUUCUGCUGGUUGUUCUGGGGUCAGCGCAAGCGGGGAUCAGCUCGGGAGGCAGGCUUGGUUGUUGUGAAAUCCGCCCUCUCUCCCCUGACACCGCGUACACCUCAGGCCAAGACUGAAGUGACCGGGGACUCUUUCCCUGUCCUCGACAGGUUCUGAAGCUCCCUGCCAUUGCAAAGUCCUCCUGCCUCGUUUGAGUUCGGUUUGGUCACUGGACUAUGACAAAAAUCUCUCCGGCUCCCUCACGCUUUAGAGAUGGAAAUCUGUUGCCUCCGACGACGGCCGGACUUUGAACGUCCCUCUGGAACGUUGCAGCCGUCCUCCCUCAAAACCUGGUGAGAUCAGAAGCUCAGCGUUCAACACCAUCAGCCCCUCAGUACUAAUCAACAAGCUUCAAAACCUGGGCCUGUCCUGGUCAAAUCACGUAGAUGCCACGGCCAAGAAAGCUCACCAGUGCCUCUACGUCCUCAGGAGGCUAAAGAAAUUCAGCACUCACCAACUCACUUUGACACUCACCAACUUUUAUCAUAGAAAGCAUCCUAUCCGGAUGCAUCCCGGCUUGGUACAGCAACUGCUCUGCCCGGGUCUGCAACAAACUGCAGAGAGUUGUGGACACAGCCCAGCACAUCACGGACACCAGCCUCCCCUCCUUGGACUCUGUCUUUACCUCUUGCUGCCUCGGUGAAGCAGCCAGCAUAAUCAAAGACCCCACCCACUUGGGUCAUCACCCCCUCUCCCAUCAGGUGGAAGAUGAGGGCACGUACCACCAGGCUCAAGGACAGCUUCUACCCCACUGUGAUAAGACUAUUGAAUGGUUCCCUUAUACGAUGAGAUGGACUCUGACGUUACAAUCUAUCUUGUUGUGACCUUGCACUUUAUUGCAUGGAACUUUCUCUGUAGCUGUGACACUUUACUCUGUGCUGUUAUUGUUUUUACCUGUACUACAUCAAUGCACUCUGUACUAACUCAAUGUAACUGCACUGUGUAAUGAAUUGACCUGUACGAUCAGUAUGCAAGACAAGUU